rnacentral:lncRNA from 1 species
GGCGGGGAGGGACCCCACCCCACCCCGAGUGACGGGAUUGCUCCAGAGCCCCCGCCUCCUCCCGCGGCGGCUGCCAACAUGGCUGCGGCCGCCUCCGCUGCCCAGGACGAGCUGAAUCAACUUGAACGUGUAUUCUUACGUCUUGGCCAUGCAGAAACAGAUGAGCAGUUACAGAAUAUUAUAUCCAAAUUCCUACCCCCUGUCCUGCUCAAACUGUCCAGCACGCAGGAAGGAGUGCGUAAAAAGGUCAUGGAGCUCCUAGUUCACUUGAAUAAACGCAUCAAAAGUCGUCCAAAAAUUCAACUUCCAGUAGAGACUUUACUAGUCCAAUACCAAGAUCCCGCUGCAGUUUCCUUUGUCACCAAUUUUACUAUAAUUUAUGUUAAGAUGGGUUACCCUCGUUUGCCUGUGGAAAAACAAUGUGAAUUGGCGCCUACUCUCCUCACUGCAAUGGAAGGGAAACCACAACCACAGCAAGACAGCCUAAUGCAUCUUCUAAUACCAACCCUUUUUCACAUGAAAUAUCCUGUUGAACCAUCGAAAGCAGCUUCUCCAUUUAAUCUUGCCGAAAAACCAAAGACUGUACAGCUGCUCUUGGAGUUUAUGUUGGAUGUGCUCCUUAUGCCUUAUGGAUACGUACUGAAUGAAUCCCAGAGUCGCCAAAACGUGCCAUCGGCACAGGGCUCUUCUGCAUCCAGUAGUGCUGGAAGUUCGGGGAUCCCUCAACCUCCUCCAGGGAUGAGCUUUUACGCAGCCAAGCGGGUAAUUGGAGAUAGCCCAUGGACACCUGAACAGCUGGAACAGUGUAAACUGGGAAUAGUAAAGUUCAUUGAAGCUGAGCAGGUACCAGAGCUUGAAGCCGUCAUACACCUGGUAAUAGCCUCCAGCGACACACGACACAGUGUAGCCACUGCGGCAGACCUGGAACUGAAAAGCAAACAAAGCUUAAUUGACUGGAAUAAUCCUACUAUCGUCAACAAAAUGUACAAAGUGUACCUCGGGGAUAUACCACUGAAAACUAAAGAGGGAGUUGUUCUGAAGCCAGAACUGAAACGAGAUCCAGUCAGCACCCGGGUUAAAUUAAAGAUUGUUCCUCAUCUUCUGCGUUCCAGACAAGCUGCAGAAACAUUCCCAGCUAACAUUCAGGUGGUAUAUGAUGGACUCUUUGGUGCAAAUACAAACACGAAACUGAGAACUCUGUCCCUGCAGUUUGUACAUCAUAUUUGUACAAGUUGUCCAGAAAGUAAAAUAAAGCCACUAGGCCCAAUGCUUUUAAAUGGGCUUACGAAACUGAUUAAUGAAUACAAAGAGGACCCCAAACUGCUGUCAAUGGCCUAUUCAGCUGUUGGAAAACUGUCCAGUCGAAUGCCUCAGCUGUUUACCAAGGACAUAGCUCUUGUCCAGCAGUUUUUUGAAGCUUUGUGCAAGGAAGAGCCCGAUACCAGACUUGCUAUUCAGGAGGCCUUGUCUAUGAUGGUUGGAGCAUAUAGUAGUUUGGAAGGAGCACAGCGUACGCUUAUGGAGGCUCUUGUGGCUUCAUACCUAAUAAAGCCUGAAGUCCAAGUGCGUCAGGUGGCCGUGAAAUUUGCAAGCACAGUGUUCCCUUCAGAUCACAUCCCUUCCAGAUACUUACUGCUUUUAGCUGCAGGAGAUCCACGAGAGGAGGUGCAUGGAGAAGCCCAGCGCGUACUGAGAAUGUUUCCUGGUAAAAAUGAAAAGGAGAGUGCUGGUAAACAGAUGCCUUCCUUCCCAGAAAUGGUCCAUUACAUUCAAGACAAGGCCUCUCACCGAAUGAAAACUCCUGCUAAAUACAUGACCGGAACUGCAGUCCUGCCUUUCAAUCCUGCUACGUUUGGAGAGAUAGUCCUGUACCUGCGAAUGUGUCUUGCGCAUAGCGCAGGUGUGGUGCCAUCCUCUCAGAACUUAGCUGACAUGCAAGACCAUGCUCCAGCAAUUGGCCGUUAUAUCAGAAACCUCCUGUCUGGCAACUUCAUAUCUUCCUCCUCAUCGUCAUCUUCCUCAAAAAGUGGAGAAACCAACCCAGUGCAAAUCUAUAUUGGCCUUCUUCAGCAGCUGUUGUCUGGGGUUGGAGGUUUGCCAGUCAUGUAUUGUCUUCUAGAAGUUGUUUCGGUGUAUCCAGAAAAACUAGCUACCAGAUUUGCAGACAAAAUAGAUUGGAUAAAGAGUCUGAUGAAUACAAACAAGGAAGAGAUGCGUGAGCUGGCAGCACUGUUGUAUUCUGUAGUGUUGUCUACAAUGUCUGGAAAUGAACUGAAGUCCUCUGUACAGCAACUGAUCAAGACAGCAAAAGACAAUCAUAACCCGGAGAUCCAACAUGGAUCCUUGUUGGCUUUGGGAUUCACAGUAGGAAGGUACCUGGCCAAAAGGAAAACCAGAAUGAUGGAGAUGCAUGACAUUGAAGAGCCAAAUAUUGUUGUCAUGCCAGAACAAGACCAGCUCAUAAAGACCACAACAGAAACAAUAGGUUCCUUUUUGGACAGCACCUCUCCGCUCCUGGCAGUUGCUGCUUGUACAGCACUGGGGGAAAUUGGCAGGAACGGCCCCUUGCCAAUUCCCAACGAAGGCACCGGGUUUACAAAGCUGCAUCUUGUUGAGAGUUUACUGACCAGAAUCCCUUCUGGCAAGGAAACAAAUAAGAUGAAAGAACGAGCGAUACAAACACUGGGUUACUUUCCAGUGGGAGAUGGAGACUUUCCCCACCAGAAACUACUGUUGCAAGGACUAAUGGAUUCUGUGGAGGCCAAGCAAAUAGAACUUCAGUUCACCGUUGGUGAAGCCAUUACCAGUGCCGCAAUAGGAACCAGCUCAGUGGCUGCCCGUGAUGCUUGGAUGGUCACCGAGGAAGAGUAUACUCCUCCUGCAGAUGUGAAAGUGAACGACGUGGUCCCCUGGGUUUUGGACCUCAUUUUGAAUAAGCACAUUGUCAGCCCUAACCCCCACGUCAGGCAGGCAGCCUGCAUCUGGCUUUUGUCACUGGUGAAGAAGCUGAGCACACACAAAGAAAUUAAGUCUCAUCUCAAGGAGAUUCAAAGUGCAUUUGUUUCAGUUCUGUCUGAUAAUGAUGAACUUAGCCAAGACGUUGCUUCAAAAGGCCUUGGACUAGUGUAUGAACUAGGUAGUGAACAAGAUCAACAGGAGCUGGUCACCACGCUUGUUGAUACGCUUAUGACUGGGAAAAGGGUCAAACAUGAAGUGACUGGAGAGACAGUGGUGUUCCAGGGAGCCCUUGGCAAAACCCCAGAUGGUCAGGGUCUCUCUACCUACAAGGAGCUUUGUUCACUGGCUAGUGACCUCAGCCAACCAGACCUGGUGUACAAAUUCAUGAAUCUGGCCAACCACCAUGCCAUGUGGAACUCGCGCAAGGGAGCAGCGUUUGGUUUCAACGUGAUCGCUACAAAGGCUGGAGAGCAACUGGCUCCGUUUUUGCCCCAGCUGGUUCCCCGUCUCUAUCGUUACCAGUUUGACCCCAACAUGGGCAUUCGACAGGCUAUGACCAGCAUUUGGAACGCGCUUGUCACCGACAAAUCUGCAAUUGAUAAAUACAUGAAGGAGAUUCUGGAUGAUCUGCUCAACAACCUGACCAGCAACAUGUGGAGGAUCAGAGAAUCCAGCUGUCUAGCACUGAAUGACUUAUUAAGAGGCCGACCACUGGAUGACAUUAUUGAUAAACUUCCGGAAAUCUGGGAAACCCUGUUCCGAGUGCAAGAUGAUAUUAAGGAGUCUGUACGAAAAGCAGCAGAACUAGCCCUGAAAACGUUAAGUAAGGUGUGUGUGAAAAUGUGCGACCCCGCCAAAGGCGCAGCGGGCCAGAGAACUAUAGCGGUGUUACUGCCCUGCCUGCUGGACAAAGGAAUGAUGAGCACAGUGACUGAAGUUCGGGCUCUGAGCAUUAACACUCUUGUGAAGAUCAGUAAAAGUGCUGGUGUUAUGCUGAAGCCUCACGCGCCAAAGCUCAUCCCAGCUUUGCUGGAGUCCUUAAGCGUGUUGGAACCCCAGGUUCUCAAUUAUUUGAGUCUCCGCGCUACGGAUCAGGAGAAAGCUGCAAUGGAUAGUGCAAGACUUAGUGCUGCUAAAUCAUCUCCCAUGAUGGAAACAAUUAAUAUGUGCUUGCAGUAUCUGGAUGUGUCUGUCCUGGGGGAGCUGGUUCCUAGGCUGUGUGAGCUGAUCAAAAGUGGAAUAGGCCUGGGCACUAAGGGAGGCUGUGCCAGUGUCAUUGUGUCACUAACCACUCAGUGUCCCCAGGACUUAACGCCGUACUCAGGCAAACUCAUGAGUGCUUUACUCAGUGGGCUGACUGAUCGCAACAGCGUGGUGCAGAAGUCUUUUGCAUUUGCUAUGGGGCAUCUAGUUCGGACCUCCCGGGAUAGUAGCACUGAGAAACUACUGCAGAAGCUCAACAGCUGGUACAUGGAGAAGGAAGAACCAGUCUAUAGGAUAGGCUGUGCUUUAACUGUUCAUGCCAUCGGGCGCUACAGCCCGGACGUGUUGAAGAACCAUGCCAAACAGGUCUUACCUCUGGCAUUUCUGGGCAUGCACGAGGUUCCAGAUGAAGAGAAAGGAGAGAAAGAUGAUUCUAAUCUGUGGACCGAAGUGUGGCAGGAAAAUGUACCUGGCACUUAUGGUGGCAUUAGAUUGUAUAUGCAGGAGUUGAUCGCAAUUACCCAGAAGGCUCUGCAGUCCCAGUCUUGGAAGAUGAAAGCCCAGGGAGCGGCUGCCAUGGCCUCUAUUGCCAAACAAACUGGUUCCCUGGUACCGCCCCAUCUGGGAAUGGUGGUUGAUGCAUUGUUGCAAGGUCUGUCUGGAAGAACGUGGGCAGGAAAGGAGGAGCUGCUGAAAGCUAUCGCCAGCGUCGUCUCUGCAUGCAGUGUAGAGUUGCAGAAGUCUGUGCCCAAUCAGCCCAGCGUCAAUGAUGUUGUCCAGGCUGUCCUGAAAGAGUGUCGCAAAGAGAACCUCAAGUACAAGAUGGUAGCGCUCCGAUGUACGGCAGACGUGCUGAAGGCGACAAAGGAAGACCGUUUCCAGGAGCUGGCGGACAUCGUCUUUCCGAUGAUAAAGAAGAAUUCUCAUGAGAGCGUAGGAGCUGGUUCACCAAAGAAUGAUGAUGACGAGAAUGAAAAAGAAAAGGAGCUUCAGAUGGAAUCUCUGCUCUGUGCCUUUGAGAGUUUGGGCAAGGCCUGGCCUAGGAAUCUGGAGACACAGCGCUGCUAUUGGCAAGAGCUGUGCAAAUUAAUGUGUGAGCGUCUGAAACUCAGUACGUGGAAAGUGCAGCUUGGAGUGCUACAGGCCAUGAACGCCUAUUUUCAAGGCUGUAUUUGUGCCACUGAUGUGUACUGCGCUUUGAAAGUUGGAAUGCAUUCUUUCUCCAUAGAAAAUAGGAGCUACACCUCCAUCAGAACAGAAGCGUUGUCUGUGAUAGAACUGCUGCUUACCAGACUUAAAGAGUCUAAACAAUGGGACAGCCUGCCACUGGAAAGUAGAGCGCUCCUCAUUGGCUCACUUACUACCAUGGUAUUGGACAGCAGACCUGAGCUGCAAGAGAAAGCAUCUUUAUUGAAGAAAACACUUGAAAACCUUGACUAAAUUGUAAAACACCAACAGCAAAGUGCCAUGUAAAACAAAAACAAGUGCAGUGUGAUCCGAAAACCAAGUGGGGAAAUGAAGAUUAAUCUGUAGCAUGCAUCAUUCCUUGGCCAAAAUAAAAAAUGCCUUAAAUUCUGUUCCCCA